GCCGCAGUGGCGCAAUGGUAGCGCGCGAGACUUCUAUUCUAAACCAGAUUGAAGGUCAAUCUCGAGGCUCAGGGUUCGAGCCCCUGCUGCGGUG